GGUGAAAUUUAACAGAAAACAACGGAAACUCCCUUACCUCCCGUUCGACCAAAUUCCUCAGCUAUGAAACGAAGAGGGAAUAUGGACUCACAAAGCAUAACCAACAUCCAACCGCCUACACCGGACUUCGGUUUCCCUCGCUGCGGAUGUCGCAAUGUCGUCGUGUUCGGCAGCAGUGGCUUCUCGUCGUCUCCGGCAACUGCAAUCCCUCCCGGCAAACCGUACCUGCGUAGACUGUUUGCAGAAGAACCCACAAUGGGCCUCUGUCUCCUUCGGAGUUUUCAUGUGCCUCGACUGCUCCGGCAAGCACCGAAGCCUCGGAGUUCACAUCAGCUUCGUCCGUUCCGUCACCAUGGACUCAUGGACCGAACUCCACCUCAAGAAAAUGGAAGCCAACCCCGGAGGCAACGAAGCCCUUAACGCUUUCUUCACCGCCCGCGGCAUCCCCAAAGAAACCGACAUCACCAUCAAAUAUAACACCACUGCCGCCACCCUUUUCCGCGAAAAAAUCCAGGCCAUCGUUGAAAAUCGUCCCUGGACUGAGCCUCCCAUUAUCAAAGAACCCCCCCUAGAUUUGAAACCCUCGAAGCCGCCUAAACAUAACAGCGCGAAUUUCAGUACCAAUUCUGAGUGGCAAUGGGGUGCUUGGGAUGAUAAUGGUGACUCGAAUCCUAACAUCCGCAGGAAUCAAUCUGUUGGCAAUAUUAGGGUGAACACCGAGUUGGAUGGUCCCAGUCGGUCUUAUUCUUCAGACAAUCUUUACGGGAAAAUACAGGCAUCCGCGGCAAACAAGGAAAGAUUCUUUGCCAUGAAGAUGGCAGAGAAUCAAAACAGGCCGGAGGGAAUUCCGCCUUCUCAAGGAGGAAAGUAUGUUGGGUUUGGCUCGACUGGAACGAGAGCAAUCUCGAGGAGUAAUUCCCAGGGGGAUAUGAUAUUGGAUGCUGUUUCUGCUGUUUCUCAGGGCUUCAGUCGGUUAACUAUGGUUGCAUCAUCUGCUGUACAAUCUGCGGCUAAUGUAGUCCAAGCAGGAAGAAAGGAGUUGACUUCCAUGGUGAGAGAAGGUGGGUAUGAUGAUACGGUAAACGUAGUGGCAUCGAGGACCACAGAACUUGGACAUAGAACCUGGGGAAUUGUGAGAGACGUAAUGGCAAUGGCAACACUAAAAGUCGAGGAAUACACUAAAGAUGGAGUUGAGACAAAGGCAGGAGCAAAGGGGCAUGAAGGAUUGGGUGGGAUCAGUGAUAGUAAUGCUGGACAACACGGGGAGAGUAAACCUGAUGAUUCAUCUUUCAAAGGCUGGGACGACUGGGGAGCGGAUAGUCCCACAUCUUCUUCUAACAUUGGAAGAGAAUUUAAGGAGACUACCAAGAAAGAGAAGGACCACAGUGAUGAAGUUUGGGGUGGAUGGAAUUGAUGACAUGAGAGGGGGGAGGGGGGUUCAAGACUUAUUCCUUUGACUGUUCUUAGGCAUGGGAAUAUUCUUAACAAAGAAUUGAACUCAGAGUGGGUUCUUGCUGCCAUACUUAUAGAGGUUUGUAUUUUUUUUGGGGGGCCUGUAUAAUAUAAAAUGUCAUUUGAAGCCAUUCUACAAACCAUGUAAAGAAACUUACAUUAUCCGUGGUUGAUCCAUAAAAGAGAUGAACCGGUUCAUAUUCACUGAAUUUUAUCAGUUGAAAAUGGCAAUAUUCAUUUGUUAUG